UGGGGAAUAUUCAGCAAUGGGGGAAACCCUGACGGAGCAAUGCCGCGUGAGUGAAGAAGGCCUUUGGGUCGUAAAACUCUGUCUUGAGGGACGAAAAAAAUGACGGUACCUCAAAAGAAAGCCCCGGCUAACUACGUGCCAGCAGCCGCGGUAAAACGUAGGGGGCGAGCGUUGUCCGGAAUUACUGGGCGUAAAGGGCGUGCAGGCGGCCUGUGUAGUCAAGCGGUGAAAACCCGGGGCUUAACUUCGGGAUGGCCCUUGAAACCAACAGGCUUGAGGACAGGAGAGGGGAGUGGAAUUUCCGGUGUAGCGGUGAAAUGCGUAGAUACCGGAAGGAACACCAGUGGCGAAGGCGGCUCCCUGGACUGGUCCUGACGCUGAGGCGCGAAAGCGUGGGGAGCAAACAGGAUUAGAUACCCUGGUAGUCCACGCCGUAAACGAUGGGUGCUAGGAGAAGGGGGUAU
rnacentral:rRNA from 1 species